rnacentral:rRNA from 1 species
UGGCGACCGGCGCACGGGUGAGUAACGCGUGUCAACCUGCCUUUACUAUGGGACAGCCCGUCGAAAGGCGGAUUAAUACCGUAUGUUGUCAUGUUGAUGCAUAUUUUCAUGACCAAAGGCUUCGGCCGGUAAAGGAUGGGGAUGCGUCUGAUUAGCUUGCCGGCGGGGUAACGGCCCACCGGGGCGACGAUCAGUAGGGGUUCUGAGAGGAAGGUCCCCCACAUUGGAACUGAGACACGGUCCAAACUCCUACGGGAGGCAGCAG